rnacentral:rRNA from 1 species
UACGGAGGGCGCGAGCGUCGUCCGGAAUCAUUGGGCGUAAAGGGCGCGUAGGUGGCCCGGUCAGUUCGUGGUGAAAGCGCGGGGCUCAACUCCGCGUCGGCCAUGAAUACUGCUGGGCUGGAGCACUGUAGAGGCAUGCGGAAUUCCGGGUGUAGCGGUGGAAUGCGUAGAGAUCCGGAAGAACACCGGUGGCGAAGGCGGCCUGCUGGGCAGUAGCUGACACUGAGGCGCGACAGCGUGGGGAGCAAACAGG